rnacentral:lncRNA from 1 species
GAGCUCCGCCGCCGGUAAGUCUUGGUUUUUUGAGUUCUUUCGAGGGCUUUAUCACAGGAACCAAUGCAAGUUUGGAGUUUUUUUGGGGACAUGUACAGGUACCGGAAGUGUGUUUCAGUUCCCGAGAAAAAAUUCAUGGAAUCUAGGGACUGCCCGUAGGCACAGUGAAAAACCGAUUUUAGACUUCGAAUCAAGUAAGAAUCUCUCACCCUAUUUCCUAU